UGAUGUGUAGCUUAAUGGCAGAGCAAAAGGUUGCAAACCUAUUGGUUGUUGGUUCAACUCCAGUCGCAUCAU
rnacentral:tRNA from 1 species